AUACGGAGGAUGCAAGCGUUAUCCGGAUUUAUUGGGUUUAAAGGGUGCGUAGGCGGUUUGCUAAGCGGGAGGUGAAAUGCCGGCGCUCAACGUCGGAAGUGCCUCCCGAACUGGUGGACUGGAAUGACUCUGCCGUGGGAGGAAUGUGUAGUGUAGCGGUGAAAUGCUUAGAGAUUACACAGAACACCGAUUGCGAAGGCAUCUCACGAAGGGUUGAUUGACGCUGAGGCACGAAAGCGUGGGGAUCAAACAGGAUUAGAUUCCCUGGUAGUCCACGCAGUAAACGAUGAUGGCUAACCGCUGGUUUUUUCGGAUCAGUGGCCAAGCGAAAGCGAUAAGCCAUCCACCUGGGGAGUACGACCGCAAGGUUGAAACUCAAAGGAAUUGACGGGG
rnacentral:rRNA from 1 species